rnacentral:rRNA from 1 species
UACGUAGGGGGCAAGCGUUGUCCGGAUUUAUUGGGCGUAAAGCGCACGCAGGCGGUCUGCCAAGUUCGGAGUGACAGUUUCCGGCUUAACCGGAAAAGGUCUUCGAAAACUGGUGGACUUGAGGACUUGAGGGGGAGACGGAAUUCCGGGUGGAGCGGUGAAAUGCGCAGAUAUCAGGAGGAACACCGGUGGCGAAGGCGGAUCUCUGGGCCUUACCUGACGCUGAGGCGCGAAAGCUAGGGGAGCAAACAGG